ACAUGUGAGAUUGAUCACCAUCUACGAC
rnacentral:sRNA from 1 species